CCUGUGAUCCGGGGUUUCCCCAUCUGUGUGGCAGGGAGGCUGGCUUGCAGGAUCGUUCCCAAGAAGCAUCCACCCCGUCAGCUCUCUAACUCUGAGCUUUAACUUUGAUUAGACUUUUGCUGGGAUUUCUCUGGCCCUGCCAGGGCGACAGAGUCGGGAGAUUUUGAGGAACAAAUCAGUCUAAACAACUUUGACAUCUUUUUUUUUCUAGGUGGAAUUAGUAGAUAUGGGGCUUUAAUAAGUUGAUCUGAUGUCUGGGCUCCACCAGGCCAGCACUCCGAAUGGCAUUUUUCACUGUGUCACUUGAUUUUUCUUUGAGUGUGGCUCAGAAUAUAGAUACGGGAGCUGGGUGCAGGAAGAAACCUUCAAAGGCAGGGGUUUUGCAGUCAGGGAACUAAACGCUCCAAGAGAUGGGGGGUAGGGCAUGUCGGGGAGGACCUGUAUUCAUGCCAAGCUGCAGUGUCACCUUUAUUAAUGAUGACGGGGAGAGGGAGUCUGGGGACUGCAGAGGAUGGUCAUCGGCAGGUGUUACUACUUUUCCAAAGGACAGGGAAGUGGGACAAACAGGACUUUAAGAGGUGAGAGGUGAACAAAGGGAGAGAAAGGCAAAAAAAAAAAAAAAAAAAAAAAAAUUGAAUAUGAUGUCAUCUGGAAAAUGGCAAACAGAUGAAUCCAUGAAGUGUCACUCCCAGAGCAGGGAGGAAGCUUCCAGAGAAGGAGCCAGCCUGCCGGGGAGCUGAGGCCUGAAAGGAAGCACAGGCUGGGUUGGCUUUGCAGUGCCCUAGCCAGGGGUCAGCCACAGCUGGCACGUGAGCCCAGGCGUGGACUUCCACUUUCUUCUGGCCCUUUCUGCCCAGAGCCCCCUUUUGUUUUUUCAUGAAAGACAUCAGAUGGAACGCUCUAUCUAGAAGGCUCUUUACCAGAGCUCGUUAAUGUGAACCAUUGGAGUCAGCUUUUUAAACAGUUCUCUGAGUUCAGCUUCGUAGGAUUUUUCUCCUCAUGGGGAUCAGCUUCAUAAAAGCCAGAGCAUGAUGAUUCUGCCAGUUUUUGCUGUGAACAGAUGAAAUAGUACUCCCUUUAUGAAAAUGAAGUGCAAUGACUUCAGGUAGCUUUGUUUCCAGGCAUUCACGGCCGUCCUCAUCGUGAUCCGUUUCCGUGCGCUGUCCUCUUGUGGCCAGCCUGGUUGUUCACUGCUGCUUCCACUGGGUUUUCCCAGCUUCCCUCACUGGGACCAAUGCAGGUGUUCACAGCUUUGCACAUUGGGCUCAGGCCAUGGGUUCAUAGCCGUCUUCAUCAGAGAAAUCCAAGGUGUUCACAACUGUCCUUUCCGGGUGCAGCUGAAGUCGCCCUCACUUGGACCCAGCCCAGGUGUUAAUAGUCGUCCUCAUUGGGGUUAGCCCAGUUGUUCACAGCAUCUUUCUCGGGGUGGGGUUAGGUGUCGAGAGCCAUUCAUCUUGGGCCCAGCCAGCUGUUCAUAGGCAUCCUCAUGGGGGCAGGCUUGGUCUCUCACAGUGGCUCUCACUGAAACCAGGGCAGGUGUUUUUGGCUGUCUUUACUGGAUCCAGACUAGACAUUCAUAGCUGUGCUCAUGCGACCAGCCACAGUGUUUACAGCUGUCUACAUGGCAAUCGUCCCUGGUGCCACAGCUGUCCUUACUGGCUUAGCCCAAGUGUUCUCAGCUGUUCUCUUUGGACCCAGGCCAGGUGUUCACAGCUGUCCUCGCUGGCCCUGCCCAGGUUUUCAUGGCAACUGUCACUGGGCCCAGCUCAGGGGUUCACAGCUAUUUACUUAGGGCCGAGCCCAAACACUCCCAAGUUGUCCUUAUAGAGCCCAGCCAAGGCGUUCACAGCUGUCCUCCUCGGUAUCUAGCCCAGGUGUUAGUACUUGUCCUCACUGGGCCCAGGCUACGUGUUCACAGUCAUCCCCAUCCAGGUCAGCCCAGGUGUUCACAGCCUCCCUCGUUUGUGUGAGCUCAGCUCUUUAUAGCAACAGUUUUUUAUAGCUGUCAGUAUGAAGGCAAGCCCAGGAGUUCACACUUCUUCUCACUGACAUGAAGCCCAGGGUAAGAGCCAUUUUCAUUGGCCUGAGGCCACCUGUUCAUCGCCAUCUUCAUUAUGUCCAGCCCAGGGUUUCCCAGCUGUCUUUAUCCAGGCCUGAACCGAUGUUCACAGUGGUCCUCAUCUAAACCAGCCACGGAGUUCUCUGUCCUUCACAUGACAGCCAGCCCAGAUGUUCACAGCCGUCCUGAUCGGGCCAGCUAGUUUGUUCACAUGUGUGCUAAUUGGUUCCAGCCACCCUCAUAGAGGCCAUCCCAGUGUCUGAAGACUGACGCUGCCCCAUCGCCUUGGAAGCCUCCUGGACCAUCACAGACGCUUUGGAUAACUCUUACAGUGGAGGGUCGAGUGGAGUGUGGAGUGGCCCACACCCAUGUCAACCAGUGGCUCUGAAUUGUUGAUGGGCAACACCACUAAGGUGCUCACGGCCACUCUGUGUCCUCCCAGUUCCUGCUGAGGAUCCCCUGGAAGGCCUCGCCAGUGAGCUCAGAUGAGGAUGCCCAUGGCAUUUGAAGAUUCCACCGAGGACCCAAUGGAGGAACACC